UCUUAUGACGAUCAAAUAAAGUGGUUUCUUAAAAUGGAAACUACUCCAUGUGAAGAUGCUGUGAA
rnacentral:pre_miRNA from 3 species